AGUGAACGCUGGCGGUAGGCCUAACACAUGCAAGUCGAACGGCAGAACAGUAAUAGCUUGCUCUUACGGGUGGGGAGGGGCGGACGGUGGAGAGAAACAUGGGAGGUUGUGUUGUAGUGGGGGCGGAAGUGGGGGAAAAUACGGCAAUAGCGCAUAGGGAGUAAGGGGGGAAGCAUGGGAUCUUAGGACAUUACACGAGUGUAGGUGGGGAUGGCGGAUUAGUUAGGUGGCGGGGUAAAGGCCCACCAAGGCGACGAUCCGUAGCUGGUCUGAGAGGAUGAUCAGCCACACUGGAACUGAGACACGGUCCAGACUCCUACGGGAGGCAGCAGUGGGGAAUAUUGGACAAUGGGCGCAAGCCUGAUCCAGCCAUACCGCGUGGGUGAAGAAGGCCUUCGGGUUGUAAAGCCCUUUUGUUGGGAAAGAAAAGCAGCAGGUUAAUACCCCGCUGUUUUGACGUUACCCAAAGAAUAAGCACCGGCUAACUUCGUG
rnacentral:rRNA from 1 species